rfam:Haemonchus contortus, ISE/inbred ISE, WGS project CAVP01000000 data, contig: Hcontortus_44184
GGCGCAAACUCUAAGUAGAGUAGUUUAUUAAGGUCAGAAGAUCCUUCUAAUCUAUUCUACUUCGAGUUUGAGCCC